UCUAAUUAAAUUAUAUUUAUUAAAUCUUUUUUACUCAAUCAAAUUAAGCUAAUCAAUAAUCUAAUUACUAAUUAAUCUUUCAUUAAUUUACUAACACUUGGUGAAUAAAUUUAUUGCAACUUUUGCAUAAGAUUAACCAUCAAUCAAAUUGACGAUUAAACCCUUAAACGAUUCUCAAUCGUUGAUUAAUUAUAUGAUUAGUCAAAAACUUCUUUUGAGUAUGACCUCGUAGAUUUAAACCUAAGUUGGUAGCACAGAAAUAAAUUUUUAAACCAAUCGAUGUAACCAUCUAGCAAUAGUGACCCGACAUCCGGAUAGGUCGAAUGAAGGUGAAGCAACAUUCAAGAACCUAUACUGACAUAUGGUUACUAUAUAAUUCAUCCCUUUAACCCUAAUACUCAAGGAGACUUAGGAUUUAACUAUCAAUUCUAGGUAAGUCAUCUACAUUAUAUUUCAAUCUUUCAAGUCCAUUACAUGAAUUAUCCGGAUCCAAGUUUUGCUAAAUUGAAAUACAUUGAUACAUUAACUCCUACUAAUUUGAAGGGGUCAAUCCUAUCUUGACUUACGCACCGACUUGACAAGUACUUGACUAUAUCCAA
rnacentral:lncRNA from 1 species